GCAGGCCCAGUUCCGGGCGGGGAGUGCUUUCUCCAGCCCAGUUUACGGCAUCGCAGGGAGCGGAGGAUUUCUGUUGCGGCGUAGAGUCCAUUUCCAUUUCCUUGACAGGUGCAUGACCCGAGUCCACGGCUACACCUUGGCGUAUGUCUUUGAACGUUUAAGAAAAUCUCCAUUAAACCAGUGGUGACCAAAAGCUAAAUGAAUGGAGACUUCCGAAACCACAGACAACAAAGAGUACAAUCUUUAAAAAAUCAUUUAGAGAAGUCACUAAGCAAUAAACUAUAACUCAAAGCAAGCAACGAUAACAAACCUUGAGGAGAAGGAAGAAUCUGAUUUCCAGAUUUACCACAUUGUAAUAUUCAAAGUGUCAAGUUCACAACAAAAUAUUAAAAAGCAUGCAAAGAAACAAAGUAUGGCCCGUUCCUAGGUUGGGGCCAGAAAUGAACAGAACUAUCCCUGAAGAAGCAGAAACUUUGAACUUUCUAGACAAAGAUUUUAAAUCAGCUGUCUUAAAUGUUGGAAACCCUGGUGGCAUAGUGGGUAAGAGCUAUGGCUGCUAACCAAAAAGUCAGCAGUUCGAAUCUACCAGGUGUUCCUUGGAAACCCUAUGAAGCAGUUCUACUGUGUCCUGUAGGGUCGCUAUGAGUUGGAAUCGACUCAACGGGUUUGGUUUUUGGUUUAUCUUAAAUGUGCUCGAAGAGGUAAAGGAAACCAUGGACAAAGAACUAAAGGAAACGAGGAGAACAAUGUCUCAAUAGAGGAUACCAAUAAAGAGACAGAAAUUAUAAAAAGGAAUGAAAUAGAAAUUCUGAGCUGAACAGUACAACGGAAAUGAAAAAUUCACUAGAGGAUUUCAAUAGCAUAUUUAAUGAGGCAGAAGAAAGAAUCAGUGAU